rnacentral:lncRNA from 1 species
GUAGGGUAAGGAUGCCUAUUAUGAGAUAGGCGCUCAAUAUGAGAUAGCAAGGUAUUAGUCAAACUAUUCACGUCAGUCAUUUGGGCGCUAGUGUCGCGCGAUCAGCACAGCAACACCGCUAAACGUCUGCCAGUGCGUGCCGGCCACCGGCGAUCAAAGUACGUGUGCGUGUAGUUAUUACAUUUUCAUAAAACAAAAUAUUUUUCGUCAAAUGUUUACAAGAUGCCUCCCAUCAAAAGGAAGACAUGGGACCAUAAUGGCCAUGAUACAAGCUGUGAAUGCAGUUCGAAGAAACGAAAUGGGUUACUUAAGAGCUGCAAAACAAUUUAGUGUUCCUAAGGGUACCCU